AAAGACUUAGUCCUAACCUUACUGUUAGUUUCUACCAAAUCUAUACAUGCAAGUAUCCGCGUCACAGUGUAAAUGCCCUUUAACCCUUAUCAAGGCAAAAGGAACGGGUAUCAGGCACACUCUUAAUUGUAGCCUAAGACACCUUGCUUAGCCACACCCCCACGGGUACUCAGCAGUAAUUAACAUUAAGCAAUGAGUGAAAACUCGACUUAGUUAUGGUAAGACAGGGCCGGUAAAUCUUGUGCCAGCCACCGCGGUCACACAAGAGACCCAAAUUAACCGUAUACGGCGUAAAGAGUGGCCCAACAUGUAUCGCUUCCCCAGCUGAGGCCAAAAUGUGUCUGAGCUGUCAUAAGCCUAAGACACACCCAAACCCAAUAUCAACAUACCCUCAGCUGCCAGCGACCAACCCACCCCACGAAAGCCAGGGGACAAACUGGGAUUAGAUACCCCACUAUGCCUGGCCCUAAAUUAAAAUGCUUUCUACUACCAAAGCAUGCGCCAGGGAACUACGAGCACAAACGCUUAAAACCCUAAGGACUUGGCGGUAUCCCAAACCCACCUAGAGGAGCCUGUUCUGUAAUCGAUAACCCGCGCUACACCCGACCCCUCCUUGCCAUGUGCAGCCUAUAUACCGCCGUCGCCAGCUCACCUCCUCUGAGAGAAUAAUAGUGAGCACAACAGCUUACCCCGCUAAAAAGACAGGUCAAGGUAUAGCCCAUGGGGGGGUAGAAAUGGGCUACAUUUUCUGGUACAGAUUAUUAACGAAAGAGGAUCUGAAACUCACCUCACGAAGGCGGAUUUAGCAGUAAAACACGACCAUAAUGCCUGUUUUAAACCGGCCCUGGGAUACGUACAUACCGCCCGUCACCCUCCUCACAAGCAACACUACUUAUAAAUUAAUACCCCAGUCAGCUAAAGAUGAGGUAAGUCGUAACAAGGUAAGUGUACCGGAAGGUGCACUUAGAAUAC
rnacentral:ncRNA from 1 species